GCUGUGAUCGAGAAAAGAAUAAAGGAGAUAGGGGUGCAGAGAGAGCUAGAAGGAUUCCCUAGAAGUAGCCACCCUUGAAAGAGUGUGUAAUAGCACACUGAUCAAGCACUUUUACGCCGAAGAUGAACGGGGCUAAGUGAUCUAUCAAAGC
rnacentral:ncRNA from 1 species